CGCCACUGUGUCCCCUGACCACUAAACCACAACACCCAGCGCCACAUCCAGGCGCUCCUUAAACGCCUCCUUAAACUGGUGACUCCACUAUCUCCCUCGGCGACCUAUUCCAACGCCUGACCAUCGCACGGCAAAAGAGUCCAACCCGCGUCUCAUUACAGCCUCCUUUCACGGAGCUGUAGAGAACGGAAGAAAGGAGGACACAGUAAUGCCCACCAGCCGCCAAGGCAGUAUCCUGCGACGAAAAGCGCUUUAAGGACAAGGCCUGUUUAAUGAAGCAAGGCUCGCCCUCACCUUCUGGAAACUGACACCACUAAUCACAGGAUGUCAAGUGGCAUGAUGGUCUUCAGUCCUAGGUUGGACUCUUAGAGGAUUUUUCCAACCUGACAACGUGAUUUUGUGAAGCAGCUGCCCAGGUGUGCAGCUCAGGGGAAAGGAGAAGGAAAAAGAAUAAUGUUGAAAAACAUUCUUUGAAUAGGUGAGUUUGUCUAGUAGAAGUGAGAUGACAAAAUUUCUUCCUCUUUUGUGUCUUUACUUUCAAAAACUGGGGGUGCCAAGAGGAUGCACCAGGCUCUGUUCGGUGGUGCCCAGCAACAGGACAUGAGGCAAUGGGGGGAAGCUGAGGCACAGAAGUUCCACCUGAACAUAAGAAAGAACUUUACUGUGCAGGUGACCAUGCACUGGAACAGAUUGCCCAGAGGAGCUGUGGAGUCUCCCUCACUGGAGAUAUUCCAGAAGCAUCUAGAUGCAAUCAUGUGCCACAUGCUCUGCGAUGACCCUGCUUGAGCAGGGAGGUUGGACCAGAUGACCCACUGUGAUCCCUUCUGACCUGACAUCUUCUAGGUUCUGUGAAGAAAAAUGCAAAAAGUGAUGCCUGGGUGUGGUGCUGUAGGGAAAGGUGAAAAAACAACAAAUAAUUUUAAGAAACACUCUUUGAAUAGGUGAGUUCAGUGGCUAGAGGUGAGAUGACAAAAUAUUUUCCCCCAUGUGUAUUUAAUUUGUAGUCUCAAAAAUUGUAACUUUGGCAUACAAUUCCUUUGAGGUCAGAUUCCUCUCCCUGCAUGUAGCACCUGGGCAGAGCCCUGCACUGGGUGAAUGCAUUAGGGUAUCCUUUGUGUUACAUUCGAGUAUGUCCUUUUCUGAGUGCCAUGGCUGAGAACAAAGUAUAGGGCAGCAAAGUUAUUAUUCUGUUUUUAAAAUAUGGACUUUAUCAUGCUUUAAAUUGCUGUAAAAUUAUAUUUCUUGCCCCUUAUUUAAAAAAGUGGAGGCAUUAAUUUCUAGAUCACCAAAACAAAGUUAGAGAGUUUCCAUGUCUAAAACGUAUGCUUCCCAAAUAAAGUCAAUUAAAAGACUACUCAUUAUUUAGGUAGUGUUUGUGUGGGAGUGGGGUCAGUUCAAAAAGACAAAAGCUAGCUUGAAAUAAGGCAGAGGAAAACCUAAAACAAAUCAGCAGGACAAGUAGUAGGACAACCCUAAGUAUAGGCUUGGUGCUUUGGGGAAACGCAAGCUUCAAAAGAAAUACUGUUGAUUAUUGGUGCUAAGUUGUGGUUGUGGAAACAUUUCUUCAAUAUUAGAGCAAAGAGAUGCCUUACUCCAUUAUUCGUUUCUCAUCAGCAAGCGGCUGUGAAGUCCAAAUUGUUGAUCCACUAGGAAAGAAAAAAACUCAAAGGAUUAGUAGGUUAGACUGGCUCUUCCUAAUGGGUGAGGUUCAGACCUCAGAGGCUUCACAGCCUGGUAAAUGCAAAGGCAGGUCAGUACUGUGUGGUGUGGGAGGAGACCAUAUAAAAUUUUGAUUUAAUCCUUUAAACAUUUCUUGAUGUGGAAAGAAAGGUUUUUCCCCAACCUUUCAUAACUGAUUACAGGGGAGAAAAAAGUGUGGAGUCCUAAAACCUGAGCUGCAGUAAGCAAGACUGAAGUUGCACAAGGCAGUCUCUUUGGUUUAAUAAUUUAAAGAGCAGAUUUUGUAUUUACAGUUAAGGUAUGAUGGAUGCCAACCAUAAAACUUUCUGUUUAUCCAAGCAAACAGAACAUGGCAAAGAAGCACAAUUCCAUGUAGAUCUAGAGGGUUGGAAUCAAAACACUGCCUGCAUCAAUGCAACCAGGACCAUGGUUUCUUUAACACAAUUGUUACCAUUACAUUAAUCUGCCCGGAGAUUUUCUAACACUGUUCUGACUCUAGACUGCAUAGCCUGCUUUAGCAUCCUUCAGAUAUAGGAAUAAUAUUUGGGAAGGCUUAGAGACCAAUUUUGCAUUUGGAGAAAGGAAGGUAUGAGAAGGUAAAGUGCCUGCUCAUAGCUGAGGGUAGGGCAGUUUGGCAUUUUCUACAGCAAAAUACUAAGAAUGUAAAUAAAUGUUUCCUAACAAAGUUAUAGAUGGAGACAGAGGACUGUGUAAUUAUAAUAUAUAUAUAUAGAUUAGUUUAUGUUUGUCUUUGAAAAAGAUAUGAAGACAUUUCCCAAGAGUUUGCAGAACGGGCAGUUUACAGAACCACCAAUUACAAAUAUCAUUUAUUAGGGCACCUAUUUUUUUUUUUUCAUUUAGGAUCUUUGAUAGCUCAAAUUAUCUCUAACACUGAACAAUAACAUGAAUUAUUUACUUUUUAGAGGUUUGCUUAUGUUGUGCACAUGAUAUUUAAUUUUUUGUUCUCUGUUACAGGGAAAAGCAGGUGAUUUCAAUUAAAAUAGCACAUGGCUAAGCCCACCAGAAGAGGUACUGCAGGGGAUACUGAAGCACAUACAUUCAGGAUUGCCCUGUCCCAUGCAGAAUCCAGCACUUGCCCUGGCUGAACUUCACAUGGUUGGUGAUUGGCCAGCCCCCUGAUUUGUCUGGGUCUCUGCAGGGCAUCUCUUCCCUCAGGGGAGUCAGCAACUCCUCCCACGUUAGUGUCCUUGGCAAACAUACUUAGUGUCCCUUCCAGUCCUGCAUACAAGUCAUUUAUGAGGAUGUUGAGCACAGGGCUGAGGCUGGGGCCCUGUGGAACCCCACUAGUGACAGGACCCCAGCCUGGUGUAACCCCAUCCACUGUAACCCUUUGUGCUGACCGUGAGCCAGCUGGUCGCCCAUCCCAUGGUAUGUUUGUCCAGCUGUGUGCUGGACAUUUUGUCCAGAAGGGUCCUGGGAGAGACAGGAUCAAAAGUUUUACUGAAAUCCAAAAGGAUUACAUAACUGGCUCAUGAACAUUUUUAAUUAGAUUUAUUUAUAGGACUAAUAAAACUGAAAAGCUUAUAGAUUCAGAAAACCUUCAAAGGUAUUUGCAGAAGUAUGAAGUGUCCUAUGUUUUUAUGGCUUGCUGCUUGUAGCAGAAGCCCGGAGUACUGUGUUAAGGGGCAUUAAAUCUGAUGUUGCUGGCAGAGCAUCGACAUUCCAAUAACAAAAGAAGGUCUGGUGGGUGUGUUAAAGCUGGUAUCAGAGAUCCAGGCUGAUAUCCAAGUGCUGAAUCAUUGAGUCAGAAUAAAUGCUGCUAUCAAAGAAUCUUAAUUGUUUAAGAAUUUUCAACUCUCCUCUGGGAACAAGAGGGAGAGGUCUGUCACUUCACCUAACUUCAGCUGUCUCAAACAUCCAGUUUGAGCCCAUUGACUGUGAAGAGAAAGAGGAGGAGAGGGCACCUCCAGGGCACAGUUCAUUCCACCCUCUUUGGAGAUGUGUUUCAAUAAAGAAGGAACAGCCUGCCAGAGCUCUGUCCCAGGGCAGCCUUUUCUCCCCAAGCACCUCGACAGCCACCUCACAGAUGCCUGAAGUUAAGUGAGAUGAAUUCAGGUCUAACUGGUAGCUAUAACCUAAUGAUGGAAAUAAUGUGGCAGCAUUCCAGGAGGUAUUAGCAAUUCACAUAGUUCCCAGAUUCUUUUUUUAAACCAUCUUUUAUGAUUUAUGGAGGUAAAUUAUAUAAAGCCCAUCAGAACACAAGAAACACUUAAAAAUGCUGCAUUAGAGAGACAUUAAUAUUAGUCCUUCUGAGGUGGUAAUGGCUGUAGCCUUCCCAGCCUGCUGCUCUGCCCUGCUGCUUAAUGCAUCCAGUUUUUCUAUUUACAGAUUUACAGAUUCUAUUUUUGGUGUUAACAAAGAAUAUGAGCAUAUGUAUCAAAGUAUUCUCACGUCAUCUAAUUAUAGUACUGCUGGCAAAGUAAUUCUGGAAAGUGCCACUUAAUUAAAUAUAAGCAUUAACAUUUUGCUGAUAGCUUAUCAGAAACAAUUAGACUUGAAAUAUGGGCAAUACACCUAGAGUUUAAAACUUUCAGUAGAAGCAUUCAAAGCACGAAAUUACCCAUUUUCACUUGCAUUCUCCAGUGUUUUCCUGCCGAGCACAACCUCAGCUUUCAUCAGUACAGUGUGUAUUAGGUAAUCUAGAGACUGCAAGUUUAUCUGGACUCCUCUGUGUGCAGAAGCCUGAGCUAAGUGGAUGCAUUUGAAAGUGGUUAAACCACUUCAGCAUAGUUGAUGUUUUCGCUAAUUCCUCCUGAAAUAUCAGAUGUAUUCUGCUGAUUAUUUAGGGUCUGCACACAACAACCCAGGAACUAUUUGGGGCAGUCAGACAAUCUCACAGCUUAUGCCAAGUGCUUAUUCUUUGCAAAGACAGCUUGAUCAGCAUUUAUGUUCAUUAACUUGAUCAGGGAUAUGCUUUUUUGUCCAUGCAACAAUGCCAAAUGUUAGUUAAUUCUAUGUAAUUUUUCAUCAAUAGCCAGAUAGAUCUACCAGAUAAUUAUACCUAAAAUAUCUCUGCAGAACUUUGAGCUCUGGUGCUGUUUGUCUGAAAGUGAAGAGGGGAAAAAAGAAAAACAGAGCUGUAAUGAAAAUAAUUAUUCUUAAGUAAAGAUACAAGGGCUAGGAGGAAACAAUUCCUUCAGAAGGUUUGUUUGACAACAUACAGCAAAACUACAUAGCAACUGAGGAGAGACGUUUUUCCCAGGUCUAACAUUUGGGCAAGCAGCAGUAGCAGGAGGAUCUGAAAUAACACCAUCUGGUGAAUGCCUGUUUCUUUCUUCAGCAAUCAAGAACUAUGUGUAACUAUCAACAAAGAAUAAAAUAGAAAUAAUGUAAAACUACUUUUCAGUUAAAUGUUACACAGAAUGAACAAACAGCUGCUCUGGGAAUGCAGAAAAGAAUGAUGUUAAAUAUAGUAGGAAAUUUGAGCAUGCUGCUCCUAUAAAUACAUGAACCAACUUUGCAAAUAGAAUGUAUGAUUCUGCAGAGGACAGGGAAGCUUAGUCCCAGACUGGAGUGCACCUAUUCUGGCAAUAAACGUAGCAAUGAUUUAAGCAUCACACAAGAGCUUAUCCCUUGACAGUGUGAAAUCAAGCUGCAGGACAUCUGGGCCUGCCUUUUUGUCCCAUUUUUUGCCAGUCAGAAUUCCCAUGUUUCUCCUGUUUGACUGUCUGAUGUACUUUGCUGAAUUCUGGGCUAUUCCACUUUCAGAAGACAGUCAAAAUAUAGGAGUUUGCACAUGAGCUCGGACUUGGGCGUUUGAUACUGUUGGUGACAGAAGCAAAUAUGUAUUUAUGUGAUUUACCAUUAGUCCUAUGGUUUUUAUAUCAAAGUUUAGCAUCCUAUCUAUAAAAAAUUGUGAAAAUAAUUCAGAGCUCAGUUUUUACCAAGUCUGCUAUUUUGCAUUGGUAAGAGAUUUGCAAAAUCCUUGGAAAGUCAAAGCAGCACUGGAAAUUCAGAAAGCAAAGCCACAAAAUCUUGAAUCCAACCCUACCUGGUAAGUGCCACUGAUUAACAACCACAGAAAUGUGACAAGGAAGAGAUUUACUGUCACUUAACUCAGACCCCAUCAAAGAUAUCAAAGUCCACAAAAGUUAUUUUGAAGAUGCUGCUGGCUUCACUAACAAGCAAGGCAGAGAGAAAGAUGAUUAAGGUUUUGGAUGCUGUGUCAUAUGAGACUGAGAGAGCUGAUGUUGUUCAGCCUGCAGAAGGCUCAGAUUCCAUAUCAGAUGCCCCACAGGACAAGAGGCAACGGGCACAAACUGAAAUACAAGAAAUCUUUUUAAAUAUGAUUAAAAAGGUUUUAUGAAGUUAAUUAACAGUGGAAACAGGUUGCCCAGAGAAACUGUGGAUUCUCCAUCCAAGAAGACAUUCAGAACUCCACAGGUGAAGGUCUUGCACAACCUGCUGUAGGUGACCCUGCUUUGAGCAGGGAGUUGGGGUUGGGCGAUCUCCAGACUUUCCUCCCGACUUCACUUUGUAAUGGAUUCAACUUGUGUAACUUCAUGAUCACUUUUUGCCUUGUUUUGUCUCUCUACACACAAGAGAAACUGAAUGUCCUUUCCAGACUACCAGAUACACAUUGAAAAACAGGUCAGAUACAUGAACAUUUGUGUUUUUAUUAAUGUUACAAAUUAGGAAAUGCCCUACCAGAGGAGUUUUCUGUAGUUUUGUGUUUACCACAUUUUUAGUAGCAGGUAAACUGAAGCUUAUAUAUUGAUUUCUAAGCAUUCAAAAAUAAAUACGCACAAUACUAACUUUAUAAAUAUUAAAGUAGAACUAAAACUGUAUUUAGCAAUGAAAAUAAUAAAUAGGCAAAGAGAAGCAGGUAAGUCUAAUUAUCAAAGCAAAUAAAAACUAAAUGGCACCUUCAAAGGGGCCCACAUGUGCCAGAAUUCCAGAAGAAGCUGAAAGAGAAAUUUUUGUGUUUGCUGACAGAGUGGCAUCCUUCACUAUGAAUUACAGCUUCUCAGACUUCUAUUCAUGGAGUUUUAUUCUUUCCAAAGAUUCUAUAGAAGUCUUUAAAAAGCAGAGCAAGUGCAUUCUUUGAAAGACACCCUGAAACAAAGGUAAACCUCAGAGCUGCAGCUUCCCUGGCAGAGUGGGAAAUCACAGCUCAAAAGCUGAAGGUAUAACCAUCCUUAAGCAGCAGAACUACAGGAAUGUUAGGGCUGGAAAAGCCUCAGUGUUGAUUGAGUCGAGCCAUUAACUGCCAAUCCCACCACUGAACCAAAUCCCUGUGACACAUCUCCAGGAAUUUUAAAUCCCUCUGUGAAUUUAAAUCCCCAGUGACUCCAUCACUGCCAUGGGUGGCCAGUCCCAACGACUAACUUCAAGACCAACAAGCAGGUAAUACCAGAAUCUUUUAGAACCUGUUCAGUACUAUGAGUUUUCAACAAGAGAAUGCCCAAUUUACUGCAAAAAUGAAAGAGUGUUUCUGCAGAGUUUCAAGAAAACUCAAAUUAUUUUAUUCACAAAAGCAGAAGUCAAUAAAAAUAUAGAUAUCCUAAUCAGUUUUACAGAACAUGUUAAUUUCUUCUCUCCUUCAGUGACAGGCAAAAGCAUGAUGGAAAAAAAAAGUAACAAGCAUUUACAUCACAAACCAUUUUUAACACAGAUUAAUGUAUAUGAGCAAAUAUUACAGGUCCAACAAACAUUCCUCUUGUUUUUUUCCUUUUUUUGUGCAGAACUAUUUUUCAGUGGUGGUAAGAAUAUGUGCUCACUGGUAUUUAACUAGCAGGUUUUGGUCAAAAUUGAAAUGUAUGAACUCACUGCAUUUAAAGUGUUUUCUCUGAAUUCCAAACCCCUUUAUAGAAUUAAAUGAGGACAUUUGUGCUCUAUUACUCAAGUGAUGCAAAAAAAAAAAA